AGAAUAACAAAAUUGCAUGUAAUCAAAUAUAAAAAUGCAUGCUACAGAUAAGAAGUCCUCUGAGUAUACUGAGGGGAUGAAAAUCAACAAGUGCUUUUUAGUUGAACAUCAACUAGAACAGCUACUCUAAACUUUUUAUAUGACAGAAGAGAUCUAAGAGUGAGGUCACACAGGGAGUGAAAACAAUUAUAUGUAAGUCAUGUAUUGUUAAUCUGAAAAACUCUAAAAUCUAAAUCACUUCUGGUCCCAAGCAUUUCAAUAAAGGAUAUUCAAUUUCUAUAAAUAUAUUUAUGCAUUGGCAGGUAUUGUAGAUCUCUGGUACACCUUAGUCAGGAGUGGACCUAAAUUCUGGGAGUCAUGCCCUCCUAUACCUCAUUCAUUCAUUCAUUCAUUCAGUCUGUCAGUUAUUCUUCAUUUAUUAAGAAUCUACUCAGUACAGAACACUAGGCUGAACCCUGAAAAUAUAGUAAGCCUAGUACUGACCCUCAAGAGGCUCUAGUCAAAUAGGUAAAGAAGGAAAGAAAUACUGUGUGUUGGAAUGUGAGUGAUACAUCACCAAAUCUUUCCAUUCUCCCUGUACUUAUAUUCUCUGUGGAGGUAACCUCUGUGGGUUAAUUUGAGAAGUUAUGAUGAAAGAUGGAGACCUCUAGAAACACACAGUGUAGUAGAGCUAGCGAUGGAUAUCUAAACAAAGUCAGGGUGGACACCAAAGAAACUAUGGGUGGGGGUCUGGGUGCAUGGAGGACUGUGUCAUUUCAGGUUGGAUCUUGAAGAAGGGAGCCCAGGUGAGUCCCUGUGAGAGCCAGAAAGGCCCACAAGUGACAUGGACCUGAGGAAGAGAGCCUUGAGGACCUAAGCAACAGUGACUUCCUAGGAACUGGGAGAUGGAGGAAGGUUAGAUGUUACAUUGUGAGACAGGAGGCUCAGCAAAGGAGCUGGGAGCCAGAGAUUUGCCUCAAAAUCAUCAUAGCCAGAGUGGGCAGUGCAGCUACAGUAAGAUUGGGGGCAAGUUGUAAUUGUUCCGGGAGGGUGAUAGGCCCUCAGGGCUUCAUUAGCCUUUUCUACUUUUAUGUAGCUUUGAAAUUUUCCAUAACUUUAAAGGAUGCCUUGAGAAGUUUUGUUUUGAUGAGAGAACAUUUAAAGAGCAGAGAAUCUUGGUUCCCAAUGCUAUGUACCUAAGGGUCACACAGUGAGAGAGGGCAAAGUGAUUUCAGGUUCAGCACUUUGGAAGGACAGCUUUUGGCAGCAUAGUGUGCAUUUGUGUGUGCGUGGGAAGGCA
rnacentral:lncRNA from 1 species